rnacentral:rRNA from 1 species
UACGUAGGGUGCAAGCGUUAAUCGGAAUUACUGGGCGUAAAGCGUGCGCAGGCGGUUGUGCAAGACAGAUGUGAAAUCCCCGGGCUCAACCUGGGAACUGCAUUUGUGACUGCACGGCUGGAGUGCGGCAGAGGGGGAUGGAAUUCCGCGUGUAGCAGUGAAAUGCGUAGAUAUGCGGAGGAACACCGAUGGCGAAGGCAAUCCCCUGGGCCUGCACUGACGCUCAUGCACGAAAGCGUGGGAGCAAACAGG